ACUGAAUAUUCAGAAUCCUACGAGUAACGACAAAGAUACGAGAUGCACACCAAACAGCUGAUGUGUUUGUUGGUGGUGGCCGCUGUGCUUCUGGCGAGUGCUCCGGUAGCAAACGCCACAUACAGAUAUGGCGGAUCGAGCGACUCUAGUGACAGUGACGAUUAUAAUGGCGGAUGGGGACGCCCUGCCGGAUGGAGACGCGGUUUGGGACGCAAAUGGGGUGGCAAUGGUGGAUACGGAGGCACCUAUUAUGGAAAAUAAAUAUGGCGUAGUUUUUCUUAAAGAAAAGCGCAUCCUCCUUGACAAUAAUGGGUUACACAUACAACAACCACGUGGUUGACUUUCAAUUGUUGUUGUAAAAAACUAUACAUAAACUAAGUUGCAAAUCGA